AUGAGGAUGCAUAUACAUAGUAUUAUAGAAAUGGGGUCAAGAGCAUGCAUUAUCAAGGAUUAUUUGAAACACAUACACUCAAACCCUUAUCCCCAACAUAACCCCAAAACCCCAAGUCUCUACAUAACUCGCCUGAAAUUGAUGAUGAGAAGGAGCUGGAACAUAAUAGAGGUGGCUGAAUCAAGAGAUGGAAAUUGA